GACGAACGCUGGCGGCGUGCUUAACACAUGCAAGUCGAGCGGUAAGGCCCUUUCGGGGGUACGACGAGCGGCGAACGGGUGAGUAACACGUGGGUGACCUGCCCUCAGCUCUGGGAUAAGCCUGGGAAACCGGGUCUAAUACUGGAUAUGACUCCAUGACGCAUGUUGUGGGGUGGAAAGCCUUGUGCGGCUGAGGAUGGGCCCGCGGCCUAUCAGCUUGUUGGUGGGGUGAUGGCCUACCAAGGCGACGACGGGUAGCCGGCCUGAGAGGGCGACCGGCCACACUGGGACUGAGACACGGCCCAGACUCCUACGGGAGGCAGCAGUGGGGAAUCUUGCGCAAUGGGCGAAGGCCUGACGCAGCGACGCCGCGUGAGGGAUGACGGCCU
rnacentral:rRNA from 1 species